GUUGGGGUAGUAAAAAAUAAUACGUCGGAUUUAAAAUCCGGAGGUGGGGCUAGGCCCUCUUCAACA
rnacentral:tRNA from 1 species